GAUGAACGCUGGCGGCGUGCUUAACACAUGCAAGUCGAGCGGGCAAUUUAUCUAGCACUGAUUACUUCAAAUGGAAAUCAUAAGUGUAAUCAUGAAUUUCUACCUUUAAUAAAGAAAAAAGAAAUUCAUGUACGCAAAUAGUGAUAACACAUUUUAGUGGAGUGAUGAGUGCUGGAUAAAUUGCUAGCGGCGGACGGGUGCGUAACACGUGGGUAACCUGCCCCUAUCACUGGGAUAACACACUGAAAAGUGUGCUAAUACCAGAUAACAUAAGCUUUUGGCAUCAUUAGCUUAUCAAAGAAUUUCGGAUAGGGAUGGGCCCGCGUCUGAUUAGCUAGUUGGUGAGGUAACGGCUCACCAAGGCAACGAUCAGUAGCCGACCUGAGAGGGUGAUCGACCACACUGGAACUGAGACACGGUCCAGACUCCUACGGGAGGCAGCAGUGGGGAAUAUUGCACAAUGGGC
rnacentral:rRNA from 1 species